rnacentral:misc_RNA from 1 species
GGAAGUAAAAGACGUAACAAGGUUUCCGUAGGUGAACCUGCGGAAGGAUCAUUAAAGAGAAUAUGCCCUUCGGGGUAGAUCUCCCACCCUUUGUUUAUAUUACCUUUGUUGCUUUGGCAGGCCCGUCUUCGGACCACCGGCUUCGGCUGGUCAGUGCUUGCCAGAGGACCCAAAACUCUUAUUAUUAAUGUCGUCUGAGUACUAUAUAAUAGUUAAAACUUUCAACAACGGAUCUCUUGGUUCUG